AUUAGCGGCGAACGGGUGAGGAACACGUGAGGAAUCUGCCUUCAACACUGGGAUAACUCCGGGAAACCGGGGCUAAUACCGGAUACGAGACCUGCAGGCAUCUGCGGGUCUGGAAAGUUUUUCGGUUGAAGAUGACCUCGCGGCCUAUCAGCUUGUUGGUGAGGUAAUGGCUCACCAAGGCGACGACGGGUAGCCGGCCUGAGAGGGCGACCGGCCACACUGGGACUGAGACACGGCCCAGACUCCUACGGGAGGCAGCAGUGGGGAAUAUUGGGCAAUUUUUUGGAACUCUGACCCAGCGACGCCGCGUGCGGGAUGAAGGCCUUCGGGUUGUAAACCGCUUUCAGCAAGGAAGAAGCGAAAGUGACGGUACUUGCAGAAGAAGCACCGGCUAACUAUGUGCCAGCAGCCGCGGUAAUACAUAGGGUGCAAGCGUUGUCCGGAAUUAUUGGGCGUAAAGAGCUCGUAGGUGGUUCGUCACGUCGGAUGUGAAAAUCUGGGGCUUAACCCCAGACCUGCAUUCGAUACGGGCGAGCUAGAGUGUGGUAGGGGAGACUGGAAUUCCUGGUGUAGCGGUGGAAUGCGCAGAUAUCAGGAGGAACACCAAUGGCGAAAGGCAGGUCUCUGGG
rnacentral:rRNA from 1 species